GAUGAACGCUGGCGGCGUGCCUAAUACAUGCAAGUCGAGCGAAUGGAUUAAGAGCUUGCUCUUAUGAAGUUAGCGGCGGACGGGUGAGUAACACGUGGGUAACCUGCCCAUAAGACUGGGAUAACUCCGGGAAACCGGGGCUAAUACCGGAUAAUAUUUUGAACUGCAUGGUUCAAAAUUGAAAGGCGGCUUCGGCUGUCACUUAUGGAUGGACCCGCGUCGCAUUAGCUAGUUGGUGAGGUAAAGGCUCACCAAGGCAACGAUGCGUAUCCGACCUGAGAGGGUGAUCGGCCACACUGGGACUGAGACACGGCACAGACUCCUACGGGAGGCAGCAGUAGGGAAUCUUCCGCAAUGGACGAAAGUCUGACGGAGCAACGCCGCGUGAGUGAUGAAGGCUUUCGGGUCGUAAAACUCUGUUGUUAGGGAAGAACAAGUGCUAGUUGAAUAAGCUGGCACCUUGAUGGUACCUAACCAGAAAGCCACGGCUAACUACGUGCCAGCAGCCGCGGUAA
rnacentral:rRNA from 1 species